GAGCUUACUAAGCUUUUGAAAGCUUACUUUGCGUGUGUUUACAUUGUUUUAUAUAUAUCGAAUCUACUAUAAGCUCGGGGAUCAUCAAGGAUCAUCACCACACUAUCGAACCUCAUUUUGGUAUUUUGAAAUUGUAUAUUUUGAAGUAUGGCAUGUAUAGGCUAGUAGUUGUGGGAUUAUGUUUUGUGAUGUAUAUAUUUAGC
rnacentral:lncRNA from 1 species